rnacentral:rRNA from 1 species
GAUGAACGCUGGCGGCGUGCCUAAUACAUGCAAGUCGAGCGAACAGAUGAGGAGCUUGCUCCUCUGACGUUAGCGGCGGACGGGUGAGUAACACGUGGAUAACCUACCUAUAAGACUGGGAUAACUUCGGGAAACCGGAGCUAAUACCGGAUAAUAUAUUGAACCGCAUGGUUCAAUAGUGAAAGACGGUUUUGCUGUCACUUAUAGAUGGAUCCGCGCCGCAUUAGCUAGUUGGUAAGGUAACGGCUUACCAAGGCAACGAUGCGUAGCCGACCUGAGAGGGGGAUCGGCCACCCUGGAACUGAGACACGGUCCAGACUCCGACGGGAGGCAGCAGUAGGGAAUCUUCCGCAAUGGGCGAAAGCUUGACGGAGCAACGCCGCGUGAGUGAUGAAGGUCUUCGGAUCGUAAAACUCUGUUAUUAGGGAAGAACAAAUGUGUAAGUAACUAUGCACGUCUGGACGGUACCAAAUCAGAAAGCCACGGCAAACUACGU